rnacentral:rRNA from 1 species
UACAGAGGUGGCGAGCGUUGUUCGGAUUUACUGGGCGUAAAGGGUGCGUAGGUGGUUGCCUAUGUCGGGUGUGAAAUCCCACGGCUUAACCGUGGAACGGCAUUCGAAACUGGGUGACUUGAGUGCAGGAAGGGAGAGCGGAAUUCUUGGUGUAGCGGUGAAAUGCGUUGAUAUCAAGAAGAACACCGGUGGCGAAGGCGGCUCUCUGGAAUGCUACUGACACUGAGGCACGAAAGCUGGGGGAGCAAACAGG